UGGAAGACUGUCUUGAUAGGAGACUCUCUCCAGAGAUUCUCUUGCUUCCUUGAUGAAAUAUGAGAUUGUGCAGAAAAUGUUCAUGUGGCAAGGAACUUAGGUGGCUUCUAGGGACUUCAGGAGGCCUCCAGUUGCUAAGGAGGGGGAUUGUAGCUGACAAGCAGAAAGAAGGCUAAGAUUGCAGACUCACAACCAGGAAAUGAAUUCUGCAAGCAACAUGAAUGAACUUGGAACAGGACAUCAGAAAAGCGAGAACUCUUCAGAGGAGUAGCUCCAGAAGUCUGCAUUGAGAUUCACUAGGAGUACGUGAUCCAGAUGAGAUUGCCCAUGUACAAGUACCGCCUUAUGUUUCUUUGGAAUGAAAAAUUCAACCUUUCCCUGCUGUCAGUCAUGUGGUCCCAGCUCCAAGAGCCCCCUAAUUGGAAUAAACCAAUAAGAGGUUGUCUUAAAAUGGACCGGUAACCAACCAGAGCCAAUGAGAUGUGGAGGAAAAAAAUAUAUAAGACAAAAAAGAGUCUUUUAAAAGGAGUCUAUCUUAGAAUAUAUCAGCUGACC
rnacentral:lncRNA from 1 species